ensembl:lncRNA
GAGUUCUUUUAGGCAGUUAAGGGGGAGGUAACAAGAAAAACUUUUUGAGUCUUUUGUUUCUUAAAAAUAAUCAGCCUGAGGGGCUGGCCCUGUGGCCUGGGUUCUGUUCCUCAGCACAGACCUGCGCCACUUGUCAGCAGCCAUGCUAUGGUGGUGACCCACAUACAAAAUAGAGGAAGAUUGGCACAGAUGUUAGCUGAGGGUGAAUCUUCCUCAAGCAAAAAAAAAACAUACAGGAAGACUGGCAACAGAUGUUAGCUCAGGGUGACUCUUCCUCAGAAAAGAAUAUAUCAGCCUGAAAUAAUCCUUGUAUUAAACAGACACACUUUCGGGUGACAAAUUUGGUUGUCCUUCGGUACACUCUGUGAUGUUCACACAACAACGAAAUCACCCAAUGACGCAUUUCUCAGAAUGUAUCCCUAUUGUUAGGUAACACAUGACUGUAUGUUCAUAUAUUUUAUGUGUACUGAUUUAUAAAAAUUGAAUAUGUUUUGCAUAUAUAAUGAAAACAUAAAAAUAAAACAAUGACUACAUAUACAUUUUUAAUCUAUUUUGAUUACAUAUCACAUAUUAGGAAUUUAGAUAAUCUGAUACUUUGCAUUUCACUUAUGCUCUGAUUUCAAAGGUAAUGCCUUAGACACAUGCCUCUGUAAACGAAAGGGAAGCUCAUAUAUGUGUUGACCACACAUCUCAAGUUGGCCUUUGGAUUUGAGUAUACUGCUAAAGUAGAAAUGUCUGUCAUUGCUUUUUGCUGUACCAUAAAUUCACCAUUUUUUAAACUCUUCACACCAGUUUCUAGUUUAGCAAUCUUUGAAUCUCAAAUAGUUUCUGGUCAUUUGCUUGAGCAGUUUUCCUAAUUUGUGCCUCACAUUCAAUCAUUUAGACCAAUAUUGUAAACUGUUUGAUUUUCUACUGUCUCUUAUCUUACUCUCUUGACUUCUCCAUUCAUUAGCAGGAAGGAUUGAAAGAGGACCACAACUCAAAUGAAGCUUUGUUAACAGUGACUUCGAACAGGGAAAAAUACAACAAAUUAGGAAUUCUGAACACUGGUACCAGAUUAGCCCUGAGCUAACUACGGCCAGUCCUCCUCUUUUUCUGAGGAAGCCUGGCCCUGAGCUAACAUCCGUGCCCAUCUUCCUCUACUUUAUAUGUGGGAUACCUACCACAGCAUGGCAUGCCAAGCGGUGCCACGUCCACACCCGGGAUCCGAACCGGCAAACCCCAGGCCACUGAGAUGCGGAACAUGUGAACUUAACCACUACAGCACCGGGCAAGCCCCUGAUCACGGCAUCUUGCACACUUUGUCAGUCGUUACCAAAUUCUCAAUUCUUUUAGUUUUUUAAAUAUCCAGUUACAACUCUCCAAAUUACUGUUUCCAAUUUUUUUCACACCCUCCUGACUUGGCAUCACUGAGAACUAAAAUCUGGCUUCCCAGAUCCUUCCUGGACUCGUUAUCUUGUGGCUGAUAUUCCUGUCAAGAGCUGAAAUAAGCCCUGCCAGCUAAAGCUGGGCAAAUUGAUAUAAACUUCAAAGGACUCAUCACCACAACAGAUUAAGCAUGGGCAACCUUCCUGCUUGUGCUGUAUGGACCACUAAGGAAGUUAACUGGAACACCUGCAUCUUCCAUGCUCUGCCCCAGAAAGAAACCAUGACCACGACCCUGAUGUCUAUGCUAUCAACAAAGCCAUUCAAACUGCAAACCAGAAAAUCAGUCAGAUUGCUGCUGCUGUCCUCUUUCCAACACCUAAAGAUGGUUUGAGCCCAACAUCUUCUCAAAUCUUCUCAUUUGGCUGCCUUACAGACUCAGAAUCUGAGUUAUCUUUGUUUUUAUUUUGUUUUCAUAGAAAUCCUCCUCUUAAAUUCCUAACGGCUCACAUCAUCCAGCAAAUAUCUUCCACUACUAGUCUCACCAACUAUUUUAGCUGGUCCUUAAUGAACAAAAAGUGACAGAACAAGAAAUGGACUUCUAUCGUUCAAAGGAAAAAAGAAUGUCUGUUCUUUCUUGAACAAAAGGAGGGAUUCACAAAGACUCCCUCAUUUAUUCAGGUUCCUGUAAGUGUUCUUUUCUACUAGGCCUCAUCCUUGGCCUGCUUGGCUCAGUCCCAGUAAGAAUACGGCAAACUCAGUUUAGCAAGAAUC